AGUGAACGCUGGCGGUAUGCCUAACACAUGCAAGUCGAACGGCAGCACGGUAAAGCUUUCCUCUUUCAUGUGGCGAGUCGCGGGCGUGUGUGAUAUACAUCAACAUCCACUUUUGCGGGGGGUAACUCGUAGAGAGACUUGCUCUUACAGCACAUACCAUCUGCGUGAGAGUGCGGGGCAUCUUGGCACCUUGCUCUAGUGAAUGACCCGAUGUCGGAUUAGCUAGUUGGCGGGGUAAAGGCACACCAAGGCGACGAUCAGUAGCUGGUCUGAGAGGAUGAUCAGCCACACUGGAACUGAGACACGGCCCAGACUCCUACGGGAGGCAGCAGUGGGGAAUAUUGGACAAUGGGCGAAAGCCUGAUCCAGCAAUGCCGCGUGGGUGAAGAAGGCCUUCGGGUUGUAAAGCACUUUUGUUCGGAAAGAAAAGCAGCUGGUUAAUACCUGGCGGUGAUGACGGUACCGAAAGAAUAAGCACCGGCUAACUACGUG
rnacentral:rRNA from 1 species